AAUCUUCCGCAAUGGACGAAAGUCUGACGUAGCAACGCCGCGCGAGUGAUGAAGGUCUUCGGAUCGUAAAACUCUGUUGUGAGGGAAGAACAAUUAUCGCCCGAAUAGGGCUGCCCCUUCACGCUACCUACCUAGAAACCCAGGUCUAACUACGUGCCGUCAGCCGCGGUAAUACGUAGGUGGCAACCGUUAUCCGGAAUUAUUGGGCGUAAAGCGCGCGCAGGCGGUUUCUUAAGUCUGAUGUGAAAGCCCACGGCUCAACCGUGGAGGGUCAUUGGAAACUGGGAAGCUUGAGUGAAGAAGAGGAGAGUGGAAUUCCAAGUGUAGCGGUGAAAUGCGUAGAGAUAUGGGGGAACACCAGUGGCGAAGGCGACUCUCUGGACUGCAACUGACGCUGAGGCGCGAAAGCGUGGGGAGCGAACAG
rnacentral:rRNA from 1 species